AUUGAACGCUGGCGGCAUGCUUUACACAUGCAAGUCGAACGGCAGCGCGGGCUUCGGCCUGGCGGCGAGUGGCGAACGGGUGAGUAAUGCAUCGGAACGUGCCCAGUAGUGGGGGAUAGCCCGGCGAAAGCCGGAUUAAUACCGCAUACGACCUGAGGGUGAAAGCGGGGGACCGAAAGGCCUCGCGCUAUUGGAGCGGCCGAUGUCGGAUUAGCUAGUUGGUGGGGUAAAGGCUUACCAAGGCGACGAUCCGUAGCUGGUCUGAGAGGACGACCAGCCACACUGGAACUGGGAAACGGCCCAGAUCCUUACGGGAGGCAGCAGGGGGAAUUUUGGACAAUGGGGGCAACCCUGAUCCAGCCAUGCCGCGUGCGGGAAGAAGGCCUUCGGGUUGUAAACCGCUUUUGUUCGGGAAGAAAUCCUCUGGGCUAAUACCCCGGGGGGAUGACGGUACCGGAAGAAUAAGCACCGGCUAACUACGUG
rnacentral:rRNA from 1 species